GUCCCACGGAGUUACACCUGCCUCAGAUCCCUGCCAGAGCAGGAGGGAGCUCUAAGAAGUGAGAGCAGGUGGAGGGGUUGGAUUUACAUGACCUUCCAGUUCACUCUCUGUUUGCAGCUGCUCCUUUAGUCCAGGGGAAACAUCCACACAUUUCCAGAGGAGGAAGCAGCAUACACAGGUGUGUUUUCAUGUAAUUUCAAGAGAUUUAUCUGGAACUCUGAAAGUGGAUUUCUGGCUGCUGUGAACAGGCCUGGCCAUACAGUGACUUUAUUAAUUGACUUCAGCAGGGUCUUCACCAGGAAUUGUUUCACUCACACCACCCAAAUCUCAGAAGUCAAAGGCAGGAACAGGGAGGAAGAAGAGCCACUCAAUGUAGGAAAAAAUCAGGCUUGAUAGCACUUGAGGAACCUGAAGAUGAUUGGAAGUCCAUUGGAACUGGUGAGAUGUGCUCAUAGGUUGUCAAAAAACUGGCAGGUGAAAGGGCUAAGCCACCAUCCAUCACAUUUGAGAAACCAUGCCAGACUGGUGAAGCUCUCAACAACAGGAAAAGGGGGAGCAGGUCUGGAUGGAAGCCAUCAGAAGGAGGAACAACCUCUGCUGUGCAGCCAGACUGAGAGAGUUGGGGUUGCUCAGCCUGGAGAAAAGAAACCUCCAGGGUGACCUUAAAGCACCUUCCAGUACCUCAAGGGGUUCUACAAGAGAGUGGUGAGAGCCUUUCCAUGAGGGUAUGUAGUGACAGAACAAGGGGGUUGUGGCUUUCCACUGAGAGUAGAUUUGUGUUCCAUAACAGAAAUAAAUUGUUUACUGUGAGGGUCAGGAGGCACCACAACAGAGAAGCUGUGGCUGCCCCAUCCUUGGUAGGAAAUGAGACCAGGUUGUGUGAGCCUUCACUUGAAGGAAAACUGGAUGCUCACAGCUUCCUUGAAUUUAAAGCACCAAAAAAAAAAAAAAAAAAAAAAAAAGACCCAAAACGAAACAGAAGGAGAACAUAUGUGCCUGACUUCUUAUAGUUACAUAGUAUUUCAUUAACAUUCCCUAAAGCUGAGUGAAGUAAUUAGCACCAGAGUAAGGCACAGAGCCCAGAAAAGCAUUCAGUGUGUGUGUGGAGAGGACAAAGGAGGGGGCUGAACCACUGCCCUCUGAAAGGACUGAGCCCACUGCUUCAGUGGUGCUGCUCACUCACUCUCUCCCUGCUCUCACACCCUGGGGCCUUCUGUUCUCGUUCAAAGAACACAACUUUCAGUGAAAUCAACAUUCAAGGAGGCAGAAUGGAAGAUAAUUUGAACAGUUCAGGACCAUUGUUGCAAGAGGAUGGUAAAGCUACCAUGACAUUAUGGACAAUACUUGUCCUACUGUUUCUAUUUAAGUCCAAAGUGCAGCAUUUUUCUCUCAAGCUGCUUGGGACUUUCAUUUCUGUCUUGCCUCUAGGAAGAAGACCAGUUGAAGGACAUUGGUGACCUAUAAUUUCAAAAUGGUCCAUGUCUAUCAGGUAGUGGGACUCCUAAUUUCAAAUUUGUGAGUGUGUGGGAGACAUAUCCCACUGGACAUGUGUGGCUCAGACACAGUGUCUGCUUCAGACACUAUUGUAAGCAUAUUAAUUCUCUUAAAUAAUGAGGAAAAUUGGACUAGAAAUUUGGACUAGCUUACCAAAAAAAAAGUGUAGCAUUAAUAGAGUAGGAGGUUUCCAAAUGCCUGGACAGGAAGUGAGGGCUCAUCUUGGUGCAAAUCGUCAGGAAUUGGACACCUCGUAUAUCCUGAUGGUUCCACCAAAAAGGAUGCACAGAUCAGUGAGGAAGACCAAUAAAGGUUUGGCAUUUUCUAAGCAUGGCAAAAGAAGGGAGCAAGAAAGAGGUUUUGCCUUCCUGAGCUUGCAGCUCUUCAGCAGUGAAGGCUGUAGCUAAUCAAGGAGUCCCUGGGAGGCAGAUAUAAAAUCCAGAUUCCUCGCACGGUUUCACCCCAGCAUAUCUAACACCCAUUGAUAGUCACGGAUGAGGGGCAGUACACACCAUGCUACCCUUAUAACUCAGAUAUGGAACAAUGUUUAUAAGCUAGGAGUAGCUGUCAAGCCUCUGAAGAAUUCCCAAAUACUCAUAUUCAGGAGGAGGGGGAGGGAACGUCGAUCACUUACACACAAACCAUCGCUGCCCGCCGUGCAGCACAUAAAGAAUCUUUGCAAGUGCUCUAAUCCUCCUUGAGAGACGUGAACAUAAAACCCAAAAUGCGUUCCAUAUGUCCCAGUGUCCGGUUGCUGCCCCAGUUCCAGCUGAGAGCACAAAACAUAGCAACCUUUAUAUUGAUGCUAAACACAUUGCGUCACCCCCAGCGCUGAUAUGUUUUAACGCUAAUACAAUUAAACUUGCUUCAGCAUAAUCCUGGUAAGAUAAACAGUGUUGCUGUCACAAUAAACCCUGUCUCUCAGCAGUGGAAUGGAAGAAAGAUGUGUUAUCCAAAGCAGUGUGAGCAGUGCUGGGAGGACUCGUUCCCUUCUGCUUUUUCUGAGGAGUGUGGUGCAGAUUGGAGUGCAGAUGCAAGUAAAGACAUUUGUGCCUUCUGCACUGGCUAAGGGUGGCAAGCUAAAAACUGCACUCAGGAUCCUUGGACUAAAAAAGAAUUCUAUGUAUGAAGCAUGCUUUCAGAUCACACUUGCAUCUUGUGAAAACCUAGACUGGUGCUCUAGAAGAAAAGGUCUUUUUCUCUCUGCUAGUGUUUUCUUUCCCAUAAAGGACUAAAACUGAUAUCUGAGGGAGAAAGUGAAGUUUGCAGUGACAGUUGGGUGUUACCACCUUCUUCCAAAGACUUCCCACAUUUUUUAAGUAUCUUAACAGCCUGAUCACUUGUAUGAUGUCUUCCAUCUCAUCUCUGAUGACCUUUUAAGGAUCUGGUGGAUGCAUUUUUAAAGUGGCUUGCUUCAAAAUGCAUAAAAGCAAUAUCUAACCACCUUCACAAAACCCCUGAGACAAAACUACAUCUUAUGUAUGUCCAACCUUUAUGUUGAAAGGAGAUGAGAGGGGGUAAAGUGAUGUGCCAGCUCUGGCUCCAGACAUUCCAACCAAGUACCAAAGUUGUUGUUGUCAGGGCAGGGAGACAGAAAUGUAGAGGAAAGAAAUCUGGCCAGAAAUUUUGUUUCACAGGAGGCAUCAUUCAUUAAACUCCAUAGAUUACUUCAUGACACUCAGGUCAUCCAGCAACAUGAAGAAGCUGGGUGAAGGCAUCUCAAAAGACCAAAAGAAUGAUAUGACUUAAUUCCAUCCCCAGCAUCUCACAAGAGCUGAUUCCCAGGCAUCUCACCCUUCUGGAAGCAGAGUUUGGAGGUAUAUUUUUGUAAGCACUGUGAAAGUAUGGACCCAUCUCCAAAGAGUGGCAUAGCAUGUCUCUGUGAAAAGACUUUCAGAAGAACUGUGUUGCUAUUUUUAUAGAGGUGGUUGUAAUCUUGUAGAGGAUAAAAUUAAUUUCUUUGGCCAUACAACAAAGCCUGCAAUGAUUAUUUGCUGAGGAUAACUUGCUGGCUUGCACUGGAGCUCAGCCACUUCCCAGGGACUCUGAGGAGCUCCCCAGCAGCAAGUGGUGGUCACUUCCUUUCCCUGGUCACAACCAAAGCCACUGAAACUCUGGAAGAAAGAUUAAGGGAUGUUUAUGUCUCCAAAUCUCUCAUUGCAAGCUCAUCUAGACCAUGGGGAAAUGCACUGGAACCAGAGGCUGCAUGUUGCUCUUGCCCAAGAGGUUCAUCUCUGUCAUUUAUUUGGUUUAUUUUUUGAGAAUCAGGACCUUUGAGACCUUUGAGAGGAAGGCAGUGUUUAUUUUAAACAUUUUCAGCUGCAUGUAGCUCCAGAGGUCCAGUGGAACCUUUCAAAUCAGUCUUGAGGUGAAAGACAAGACAGGGUCCCACUCCUUGACCCUCCAGGACAAGAUAAUUGAGUUUUCCUCACUAAUUAUAACUCACUAAUAUUUUUCACUAUUAUUAUAGUGGAAAACUGUUAUUAUAGUCACUAUUAAAUAUAAUAUUCACUAUUUUCCUCAGUAACAAUAACUCAAGGCAAUUGUGUUUUCCUACCUGCAAAGGGGAGCAAACAUAAUUAACCUCUUUAGUUAAGUGACUGC